GGGAGAAUAAAGCGAAGUGAUGGAUCGUUUCGUGAUGUUAGUGGGGAUAUAGCAGCUAUUGAGGCAAUUGUACGCAAACUUUCAAGCAGGUCCACUGACGAUCGGAGGGCUGCAGUAGCGGAGAUCCGGUCUCUAUCCAAAAGAAGCACAGACAACAGAGUUUUGAUUGCUGAAGCUGGAGCAAUCCCGUUAUUGGUCAACUUGUUGACAUCUGAAGACAGUCAAAUCCAAGAAAAUGCUGUCACUUCUAUUCUUAACCUUUCUAUAUUUGGCAACAACAAGGGGCUUAUCAUGCUUGCCGAUGCUGUUCCUUCAUUGUUCAAGUUCUCAGAGCUGGAAGCAUGGAAGCAAAAGAAAAUGCAGCAGCGACCAUCUUUAGUUUAUCACUUGGAGAUGAGAACAAAAUUAUAAUAGGUGCAUCGGGGGCCAUCCCAGCUCUGGUAGAAUUGCUUCAGACUGGAAGCACCAGAGGGAAGAAAGACGCUGCAACAGCAUUAUUUAACUUGUGCAUAUAUCAAGGAAACAAG
rnacentral:misc_RNA from 1 species